rnacentral:rRNA from 1 species
GACAGAGGUCCCGAGCGUUAGGCGGAAUCACUGGGCUUAAAGCGUGUGUAGGCGGAUGCCUAAGUACCUUGUGAAAUCCCACGGCUCACCCGUGGAACUGCUUGGUAUACUGGGUGUCUUGAGCCACUUAGGGGCUACCGGAACAAAUGGUGGAGCGGUGAAAUGCGUAGAGAUGUGGAGGAACACCGAUGGCGAAGGCAGCCUUCUGGGCCAAUACUGACGCUCAUGCACGAAAGCGUGGGGAGCAAACAGG